rnacentral:lncRNA from 1 species
CCUGAGGCUCCAGCUGCUCUAGACCCACUACCCUGUGCCUGCCCUUGAGGCCAAGCAAUCGCACUAUGGAACUCGUCCAUAGUCCACUUGUGCACUGGUGGCUGAUCAUAUAGUCCUACAAUCAUCUCGGCAGUGGCCACCUGCCCUCUACGAAGGGACUUCAUCCUUGUCUCCAUCAUGGACAUAUAGAUGUCCCUCAUCUGGAAAGGCUCAGGCUACGGUGCCGGUGCAUCUGUAGGCUCAUCCUCCUGUUGUGCUGCCCUCCUAGGACGUCUCCUAGGAACUGCUUCAGCCGGCUCAUCACCUCCACAGUAUUGACGAUAAUAGGAGGCAUCAAUAGCUCUCCUCGGC